AGGAUUCGUCCAAUGGAGACAGAGGAAAGUGGCGGACGGGUGAGUAACGCGUGAGCAACCUGCCUUUCAGAGGGGGAUAACAGUUAGAAAUGACUGCUAAUACCGCAUAAGACCACGGAGUCGCAUGGCUCCGUGGGAAAAACUCCGGUGGUAUAAGAUGGACCCGCGUCUGAUUAGCUUGUUGGUGAGGUAACGGCUCACCAAGGCGACGAUCAGUAGCCGGUCUGAGAGGAUGAACGGCCACAUUGGGACUGAGACACGGCCCAGACUCC
rnacentral:rRNA from 1 species